AGUGUUGUCUGUGAGUGACCGCUCUCUGGGCCAGUCAGAUUCUGGCUUCAUCGAGCCAAAACAGUCAACCUCCGGUGAGGCAUCCAUAACAUCCAUCCAGAAGUCUGCUAAGAGGAUGAGAGAUGAGAGUCCUGGUGAUGAUGCUGGAGUGAAGAGGUCAAAAGAAACAGUUGCUGAGGCGUCCCCAGCAGAGGUCCCAGACAUCACGAUAACAGACGAGUCCAGUCAGCCAGAUCACAGGCAGAUCCAGUGGGCAGAGGUCGCACCCACGCACAGGAAGCGCCGCACAUGGAAACGGCCCGUAACAGGUUAGUUCA